rnacentral:rRNA from 1 species
CACGUAGGGUGCGAGCGUUGUCCGGAAUUAUUGGGCGUAAAGAGCUCGUAGGCGGUGUGUCACGUCGGCCGUGAAAACCUGCAGCUUAACUGUGGGCGUGCGGUCGAUACGGGCAUCACUGGAGUUCGGCAGGGGAGACUGGAAUUCCUGGUGUAGCGGUGAAAUGCGCAGAUAUCAGGAGGAACACCGGUGGCGAAGGCGGGGUCUCUGGGCCGAUACUGACGCUGAUGCGCGAAAGUGUGGGGGAUCAAACAGG